CUUUACUGUAGCUUGGAAUUGAAUUUGGGUUUAGUUUGCGCAGAAUAGGUGGGAGGCUAUGAUAUUACGUUUGAGGACGUGAAGGAGCCAACAGUGAGAUACCACUCUAGCUAAACUAGAAUUCUAAUCUUGACGCCGUUAACCGGCCAAGAGACAUUUCCUGGUGGGCAGUUUGACUGGGGCGGUCGCCUCCUAAAAGGUAACGGAGGCGUGCAAAGGUUUCUUCAGACUGGUCGGAAAUCAGUCGUAGAGUGUAAAGGCAUAAAGAAGCUUGACUGCAAGACCUACAAGUCGAGCAGAGACGAAAGUCGGCCUUAGUGAUCCGACAGUACUGAGUGGAAAGGCUGUCGCUCAACGGAUAAAAGUUA
rnacentral:rRNA from 1 species